GGACUACUCCAAGACCUACCGUAGGUAUAAAGCUUAUCAUCUUUAAUGAGACUUGUAAUUGUAUAGCUAGCAUUUAAGAUUUUUAUUAUUUUGGGUGCACUGGUAGGGGGGCAUGAUAGACUAGCCUUCAGAUGUUUUGGCUUAUGCAUGGCUGCCUAAUUUUAUCUAUUUUAUGACCUUGCACAAGUAAUAAUGAAGGGAUAUACAGCUACCCUGCGAAUAAAUGUAGAGCCAAACUUAUCACUAGUUUAUAAUUAGUUGCCGCUAGUUG
rnacentral:misc_RNA from 1 species